rnacentral:rRNA from 1 species
UUUCCUACGGGACGCAGCAGUGGGGAAUAUUGCACAAUGGGGGGAACCCUGAUGCAGCGACGCCGCGUGAGUGAAGAAGUAUUUCGGUAUAUAAAGCUCUGUCAGCAGGGAAGAAGAAAGACGGUACCUGACCAAGAAGCCCCGGCUAACUACGUGCCAGCAGCCGCGGGAAUACGUAGGGGGCAAGCGUUAUCCGGAUUUACUGGGUGUAAAGGGAGCGUAGACGGCAGGG